GGGGCUGUAGCUCAUUGGCAGAGCACUUGCCUAGCAUGUGUGAGGCACUGUUCAAUCCUCAGCCCCA
rfam:Ictidomys tridecemlineatus contig022077, whole genome shotgun sequence.